rnacentral:rRNA from 1 species
AGCGGCGGACGGGUGAGUAACGCGUGGGAAUUUACCAAAGAGUGGGGAACAACUGCUGGAAACGGCAGCUAAUACCGCAUACGCCCUAUGGGGGAAAGGCUUCGGCCGCUCUUUGAGAAGCCCGCGUACGAUUAGUUUGUUGGUGGGGUAAUGGCCUACCAAGACUACGAUCGUUAGCUGGUCUGAGAGGACGAUCAGCCACACUGGGACUGAGACACGGCCCAGACUCCUACGGGAGGCAGCAGUGGGGAAUAUUGGACAAUGGGCGAAAGCCUGAUCCAGCGAUGCCGCGUGAGUGAAGAAGGCCCUAGGGUUGUAAAGCUCUUUCGGUGGGGAAGAUAAUGACGGUACCCACAAAAGAAGCCCCGGCUAACUCCGUGCCAGCAGCCGCGGUAAUACGGAGGGGGCUAGCGUUACUCGGAAUUACUGGGCGUAAAGCGAGCAUAGGCGGUUAACUAAGUUGGGGGUGAAAGCCCGGGGCUCAACCCCGGAAGUGCCCUCAAAACUAGUUAGCUAGAGGACGGGAGAGGGGAGUGGAACUCCCAGUGUAGAGGUGAAAUUCGUAAAUAUUGGGAAGAACACCAGUGGCGAAUGCGACUCUCUGGACCGUUUCUG